GUGUGCGGUGUGUAUUAAAAGAAAAAAAAAAAGAAAGAGAAAAAGAAAUUAGAAAAAGAGAGGUGGGACCCACGUCCCUUUUAAAUGAAUUAAGAGACCAAGUUAGUCUCUGUUCUUUUUCUCUCUCUUUCUCCCGACUGCCGCUCUCGGCUCCUUCUCUUUUCCUUUUUUUUUUUUUUUUUUUUUCACUUCAAGCUUUAACCCUUGAUUACUCUCUCAAUCCUUGCCGGAUUUAGGUGCCGUUUAAGGCAAAACGACGAGUGUGACGAGCUCUACGUUCUAGUACCAGCAAUUCUAGUUUUGCUACCUUCCUUGGAGCUCGAAUUUGAGGACCCAUUUUCUAGGGUUUUGGUGCAAUCUUGAGGUCUUGGAAAAGAACCGGUGGACGACAACCCACCUCAAGCUUGAGCGAUACUAGAAGCUCACUUUUGUGUCUUUUGUAUAUCUCCCAUUAUUUUUGCAAAGCACUAAAAGUGUGAAGGUGUAUAUGUAUAUUUUGCAAAAACUUUGUCAUGUAAUGUAAUUAAGGUAUUUGAUGAUAUUUUGGAUGUGAAUUUGAUAACAUGUAAACCUUAUUGAUGAAUGGGGAGAGUAAUACUAGUUUGAAGUAUUAUUGAGGUCA